GAGAUGAUUUCUCACAUCUCCCAUGCAGAGUAACGAUGCAGAGAAGAUUAGCAUGGCCCCUGCGCAAGGACGACACGCAAAUUCGUGAAGCGUUACUUUAAAAA
ensembl:snRNA U6 U6 spliceosomal RNA